rnacentral:rRNA from 1 species
UACGGAGGGGGCUAGCGUUGUUCGGAAUUACUGGGCGUAAAGCGCGCGUAGGCGGCUUUGUAAGUUAGAGGUGAAAGCCCGGAGCUCAACUCCGGAACUGCCUUUAAGACUGCAUCGCUAGAAUUGUGGAGAGGUGAGUGGAAUUCCGAGUGUAGAGGUGAAAUUCGUAGAUAUUCGGAAGAACACCAGUGGCGAAGGCGACUCACUGGACACAUAUUG